rnacentral:rRNA from 1 species
GUGACAGCCGCCGCGGUAAUACGGGGGGGGCAAGCGUUGUUCGGAAUUAUUGGGCGUAAAGGGUUCGUAGGUGGCCGGCUAAGUCAGACGUGAAAUCCCUCAGCUUAACUGGGGAACUGCGUCUGAGACUGAUCGGCUUGAGUGCAGGAGAGGAACGCGGAAUUCCAGGUGUAGCGGUGAAAUGCGUAGAUAUCUGGAGGAACACCGGUGGCGAAGGCGGCGUUCUGGACUGUUACUGACACUGAGGAACGAAAGCCAGGGGAGCAAACGGGAUUAGAAACCCCAGUAGUCC